ACCCUACAUCCCACUCUCAACUCAAGCUACACUGGACUGUACAGAUGUACAUCGGAUAUAACGGGUUACACGACAGGACGACAUACCUAUCAACUGCAUGUCGUGGUUCCACCCACAACGCCGGUACUUCAAACUCCAGUGUCAGUGUAUAACCACACUCUAUACAACAUCAACUGUACCGGUCAAGGGUACCCAGCACCCACAGUAACAUUGAUGGUUGACGGUACUGUAUUGACAGGCAGUGAUACCAACAAGUGUACAGGUGGUGUGUGUACAAAGAUACGAACAGCAUCUCUAGAUGGUAGUGACUACACACCUGGCCAGUCCAUCAACAUUGCCUGUACUGUGGAUAUCGACCAACCACCAUUCAUCUGUACUGCUACUAAGAAUUCAACAUUACAGACACAGUGUAGUAAUACUACCAAGACCAGCACACACACAAGAACUGUUCCAGUAGUUGCAUCCUGUCCGGUAUUAGAUUCCUCUCUUGGUCAUGAUUUCAAUGCUACAUUCUCCAAUGCCUCUGGAACUGUUCUGGGAAUUUCAUGUCGUGCUGGCUUUACUGUGGAUGCUAGUACGAGUUCCAUUGACACAAUAACAUGUCAAUAUAAUGGAAUGUGGACACCUCUCCCGGCUUGUACAGACGUGAAUGAGUGUUCGACCCAGUGUUCUGGCAGUCAUGUUUCUCAGUGCCAGAACACUAUGGGAAGUUUGACAUGUACAUGUAACAUGGGAUACAGGUUUAAUGGUACCAACUGCAUUGAUUUCGAUGAAUGCUUGACUAUGUGCAAAGACAAGAGUACCAGUUGCACCAACACAGUUGGGAGUUACAAAUGUGAAUGCCAAACGGGAUAUAAUGGAACUGCACCUUCUUGCACUGGUA